AUACGGAGGGUGCAAGCGUUAAUCGGAAUUACUGGGCGUAAAGCGUACGUAGGAGGUUAGUUAAGUUAGAUGUGAAAGCCCCGGGCUUAACCUGGGAACUGCAUUUAAAACUGGCUAACUAGAGUUAAGUAGAGGGGAGUGGAAUUUCAGGUGUAGCGGUGAAAUGCGUAGAGAUCUGAAGGAACACCAGUGGCGAAGGCGACUCCCUGGACUUGAACUGACGCUGAGGUACGAAAGCGUGGGUAGCAAACGGGAGUAGAAACCCCAGUAGUCC
rnacentral:rRNA from 1 species